rnacentral:ncRNA from 1 species
AGAUAAAAGCAAAGCCGCAGUGAUGUGGUGACGCAAAGCUACAGGGUCUUUAUUACAAAGAUAGCCAGUUGCC